CUUGCUUGGGGUGCAGUCCAGGAGGGUUUCCAAAAGGUAGCGUCAGGAAUUCUGAGUUAAGUGAUGGUGAUGACAGUUACAGAAUUGGCUCGAGUGUGAGUUCGUGUUAGAAGCACUACAUAAAGUCACAUACACACGAAGGGAGUCAUGAUGUACUUGUCUGAACUUGAACGGAUGUUUUAAUUCUUUCCCCUUCAUCCUGACAGCAUGGGUAGUGUUUAAAAGUGCUCUUGGCAUUUUCCUGCAAAUGUUUCCUUGACUUAUACAGUAUGGUCUCCUGGGUACUACUGCCUUUGGCUUCGCUGAGCUCUUCGGUACAACUUCUUUUGAUUUGGUAGCCUUUGUUGUCUUUUUUGGGGCCCUCGGUCUCUAAGACAGCCUGGGCCUGCUUGACUGCAGUAGCCCCUUUCACCCCGAGAAGGAGCGCACGGCCUUGGCGAUGUGACAGUGGUGGCAUCUGAAGCCGCCAGGCACCGCAUCCCUCUCUUGGGGUGUCAGAGGCUUAUAAAUCACGAUAACACGCGAGGGAUCGGGAUUUACAGGGAGGAGCUUCUCCGCCAUUGGUGCCUCGGGGUGGCCUCACUGCUGGGAGACGGCGACAGCUCCUCUCUCCUCUCUUUCCUCUGAACAGUGUUCCGCCUCAGGAGGCGGAGGAGUGAGUCACUGGGGCGUUGUGUUAAUGGAAAAUGUUUUUCAAGCAGAGAGAGAUAACGUGGGAGUGCCCGGCUGAAGUCUUGCUGGGAAACAAGAUAAGAAUCGUGGGUCUGUUUCUAAGCGGUAUAUGAUUCUUAAACAAUUUUCAGGUUGAGUUGUUUUCCUUUGGUUGCUUGUUGGUUUGUU